rnacentral:ncRNA from 1 species
UGGUCCUGGCCUUAUAAUCAAUUAUUACCCAACUUACACAUGCAAGUAUCCGCACCCCUGUGAGAAUGCCCUAUUACCCCUUCAGGGACCUGGAGCCGGUAUCAGGCUCGAACCCCUCAGCCCACGACACCUAGCAUCGCCACACCCACAAGGGUCUACAGCAGUGAUUAACAUUGACCAUAAGCGAAAGCUUGAUUCAGUCAGGGUAAAUAGAGCCGGCAAAUCUGGUGCCAGCCGCCGCGGCCACACCAGAGGCUCAAACUGAUUACACUCGGCGUAAAGCGUGAUUAAAGAUAAAUUAAACUGCAGUUAAACUAGAGCUGAAACGUAAAACCCAUGUAAACCAGGAAAGGCAAAGACGAAAGUCACUGCAAAUUAACCCACUUGACCCCACGACAGUUAGGAUACAAACUGGGAUUAGAUACCCCACUAUGCCUUACCGUAAACCUUAACUUACACCCAAAUCGCCAGGAAACUACGAGCAAUGCUUAAAACCCAAAGGACUUGACGGUGCCCCAUUCCACCUAGAGGAGCCUGUCCUAUAAUCGAUGACCCCCGUUUAACCUCACCACUCUCUGUUACCAGUCUGUAUACCUCCGUCGUCAGCUUACCUCCUGAGAGACCCCCCAGUAAGCAAAAGGGGCCCCACCCCAAAAAGUCAGGUCAAGGUGCAGCUAAUAGAGUGGGAAGAGAUGGGCUACACUCCCUAAAAUAGAACACACGAAAGACCGAAUGAAAUUUUUGUCAGAAGGCGGAUUUAGCAGUAAAACGAGACAAGAGCGCUCGCUUAAACACGGCCCUGGGGUGUGUACACACCGCCCGUCACCCUCUUCGAAAAGUUAGCAACAGUACUUAACUCCUAAUUUACCAUAGAGAAGAGGCAAGUCGUAACAUGGUAAGCCUACCGGAAGGUGCGCUUGGAAA